rnacentral:tRNA from 1 species
UGCAUUGGCCGGGAAUCGAACCUGGGCCGCCCGCGUGGCAGGCGAGCAUUCUACCACUGAACCACCGAAGGU